rnacentral:rRNA from 1 species
GACGAACGCUGGCGGCGUGCUUAACACAUGCAAGUCGAACGGAAAGGCCCCUUUGGGGGUACUCGAGUGGCGAACGGGUGAAUAACACGUGAGUAACCUGCCCUUGACUUCGGGAUAACUUCAGGAAACUGGGGCUAAUACCGGAUAGGAAUCCUUGCUGCAUGGUGGGGGUUGGAAAGCUUCGGCGGUUUUGGAUGGACUCGCGGCUUAUCAGCUUGUUGGUGGGGUAGUGGCUUACCAAGGCUUUGACGGGUAGCCGGCCUGAGAGGGCGACCGGCCACAUUGGGACUGAGAUACGGCCCAGACUCCUACGGGAGGCAGCAGUGGGGAAUAUUGCACAAUGGGCGGAAGCCUGAUGCAGCAGCGCCGCGUGCGGGAUGACGGCCUUCGGGUUGUAAACCGCUUUCAGCAGGGGCGAAGCUUGUGGUGACGGUACCUGCAGAAGAAGCACCGGCUAACUACGUG